GGUGGGUGGUCUCCCAAUCUGUUUUCAUCCCCCAAGGCAAGGGAUGGUAUAUGCUUUGAAAAGGCAGCCCCCUGAGCUCUUGACCCUUUGCUCCUGGACCCUCUCACCUCACUCCAUGUCCUCCGCAAGGUUCCUUGGAUGAGGGCACACCGAGAAGCAUCCCAUGGCAUCCCAUGACAAAGAUGUGGGGCCCUUACUGCCCAAUCCCUGGGACGCCAUCCUUGAGGCCGUCAAGGAGCAGCUCCCAUCUCUGGACUCAGAUUCCUCCUCGUCAAACUGCGAGGAAGAGGAGCUGUUCAUCUUCCAGCGAAAUCAAACCGCCCUGAUUCCAGACUUGUCAGAAGAACUGGCCGAAGACCCUGACGGGGCCUGGGUCACUUCCUCUGGGUCUCCUCCUGAGCCAGCUGUAGUGCCUGUGGAAUCCGCCGGGGAACCCAGGGGAGAGUGGAACGCUGGGCCCCAGGCCCAGGAGUCAGUCUCUCUGGAAGGAAGGGCCCCUGGCAGGCCUUUGCAGAGCGGUGAUGAGAGCAGCUCUCUUCUCAGGAUACCUGUGGAGACCCCCACGUGGCAGGAUGACGAUGGGGACACAGCCUUCAAAACCAGUACAUCACAGAGUCCUUGCCAGGGGCCACAGGGAGAGGCCACUCUCUCCUCUCAGGAAGCAGGCCUGCAGACAGAGCCCCCAGGCGCUGCCUCAUGGGCCCAGGAGGGCUCAGACUCUGCAAACCGCAGAGCCCUCCGGAGGGAGAGAAGGAAGAUGAUCGAGAAAGACAUACUUCACAAAGUCACCUGGGAUGCCCAGGACCCAGCCUGCCAAGACCUGAGUGGAGUGAAGCAGAUGCCCUGUGAUGCUGCGGAAACGCUGCCAGAGGGGCCCCAGCGGGGACCGCCCUUGCUCUCCCUCCAGCAACUUGAAGAGUGGGAUUUGGAUCAAGUCCUUCAGAGUCUGACAGGGCGAGAAGAACUGGGAGAUGGCGCUUCUGGAGCCGCGUGGUGGGCAGCAGACCGCCUCCAGGGCCAAGGUCUGACCUUGAACGCCGGGGCCCAAGUGCAUACCCACAAGUGGCUCCUUCCAGGGCCUCCCAAUAAAAUAGGGCAAUGGGCUGGGCACAGUCAGCCCAGCAGCUCGCCACAUCUGCUGCGCCUCUCUGCUGCUCAGCCCUCGCCGUCCUGCACACCCAGGAUGCAAGACUUUAUCCACCCAUCCAUUCACUCACUGACACUCAUUCAUUCAUCCAUUACAUAUGUGACUGCCUGCUAUGUUCCUGGGGUGGACCAAGCCUUGGGGAUACGAGAGGAAGCCCUUCAGACAGGGUCCCUGCCUUUUCUUCCCCCCCACCUCCUCAGGCCUGCGUCUCUUUCUUUCUGGGAGCAAAGUAAUCCUGCAUUUGGUACCCCUUCAGCCCGCUUCUAAACAGAAUCCUGUUUCCACCGCCUCCACGUUUACCAAACAAAGCCAGGGAUGAUUCCUUCAUUGCACUUGUGGCCUCACUCUGGGCAGUUUCGUAAAAAAGUUCCCUGUCCCCUCCUGGCCACUCUGGCCCACAAAGGUGAGUGGAGGCAGGUCUGAGGCAAAGGUGCUGCGGGGGUUCUGGCCUCCCGUUCCAGAGCAAAGGCUCCUUUGUGGCCAAGAGCCCCUGGUGCUAUUUUAAAAAGGGCUUUGUUUGGAAUUUAACCCCUUAGAGCAGGAUAUGGAGAAACUCACUCUCCUACAAGUUGGGGCAGGGCUGGGGGGCUGUAGUUGGUGCCCCCUUUUGGCGGGCAAUGUGGCAGAAUCUGUUCUCCAUUUAAAGGCACAUAAGCCUUUGAUUAAGCUAUUCACUCCACUUCUAAAGGCUGUCCUAAACACACCCUCACAGAUGUUCAUUGCAACAUUGUUCAUACUUGUGAAAAACUGGAAGCAAACCACAUUCAACAUUCAGUAGGAGUCUAGCUAAUCAGUCAACCAGAGAAUUCUCUGCAGCUCAACAAAUGGAAUCUAUCUAUCUAUCUAUCUAUUCAUUUCUCUCAACACAGAAAAAUGUAAAAUAUAUUCAGUAAAAAAAAAAAUCUAUAGAGGAUGAUCCCAUUGCUUCUUAAAAAAAAAGAAAAGCAAAUAUGCAGAACUGUUAUUGAUGGUUCCCUCUGACAAGUGGGACCGGAGUGAGAACGUGGACUACACUGUUAACAGGACGUCACCCUUGCUUCCCGGGCUCACACACAGCUCCCUGCUCAAGAAGACAGCGCCCCUCGCCCUGCUGAGCUGGAGGGGGCGACACAAAAGCUGGAAACUGAGGCUCAGAGAGGUUGCCUUGCCCAGGACAUAAGUGGCAGAGCACACAGUGGUCACCGGGAAGUGACUCAGCCGCCCGGCUCCUCUCACCCCAGAUGCGCUUCCAGGGAGCUGGGCUUCCAGGCGCUGGC